UAACGUUUAACUUCUGCACACAAAUAUAAAGUCUGUAAUUGGUCUAAUAACACAACUGAGUGACUUUUUGAAAAAUAAUACAGAGUUGAAUGUUUACGUAGCUAUAAUCUUUUGAACAAUGUUACCAUAGAAACCAUAAGAGCAUCUGCCAAAAGUAAAUAUUUGGACAAAGAUAAAUCUGCGGAGGUCCCUCAAAGAGACUGAAAGGAAAUGGAGAAACUCCAACUGGAAGAGAAGUCUGGUGCUAGCAACACUGUGACAUCACUGGAAGAG